ACUGGAAUUCACGAGGAAGUCAAGUGACGCACCUGCCAAGUCUCUUCUCCUGCUUUGCUCCGACCAACACACUUGUGAAUUGAGCACGUUAAGUUAUUUGCACACGUUUUGAGCGAUGGCUUUGCCGAGCAUCUUGAUGAGUGGCAAUUUAUGGAAGUCCCCACCUCAAGACCAAUUCAUCUUCAGAAAGAAGGCGAGCUGGAAAAACAGGUACUUUGUGCUUCGGGACUUUGGUUAUCAGUGCUUGCUGGAGUAUUACGAGAGCGAAAGCCACUACGUCACCAAUCAACCGCUUGGAAUCAUUUCCAUGUCAAGCGUUGAAAAUAUAGAAGUCAAUCCGGAGCAGAACCCAAAGUGGUCGGCUGUGAAGACCAUGAUGCUGCACGACCCAGGGGACGCCGUGUUGUUCUUCCAGGUCUACAAGCGUCAGUACUUCCUCGUUGGCAGCAGGAGGGACAUUGAUAAGUGGAUGCAGAAACUAAAAGAGGUCCGUGCGCCGCUUCAUCCCAUACGCUACAAUGAAGACACGAAGGACAACGGAAUCGGCAUCCUGUCUAAACCAAGCAACCAAUCGUUCCCCACGUGGUCAAUGGACAAGCUCAGAAUUGAUAAGGAGUUUGCAGCAGGCCAGCCUGAACACACGAAGUCGUCGAGCCCAAUGCAAGCCAGCGCUGCUGCUGAGCAGCAUACCAGCCCCGGACAGUCUUGGAAGGUGUCCGACUGCUACAGGCAGAUGAAAAAGGACCAGACUGCACAGUUGAUCACUGUGAAGGUCAACCGCAAUGAUGUCCUUGACAACAUGUCAUUUUCUGAAUACAAUGGCAGAAUAUACAUUCUGCUAAUCAUGGAGGCAUCAGAAAUAAAGGAACUGCACUUUGGUGAUGAAAUUCUGGCCGUGAAUGACCUUAGACCCAGAAACGCCGGAGACAUAAAGCGGUUUACAUCCCAGAGCAUCAAGGAGGAGGUCGCAGUUUCUGUGCGGAGAGUACCACAGGCCGUGAUACUUCAGCUGAAAAGACAACGCCAAAACGAUCCGUGGGACUUGAGAGUGGAGGGAGCCAAGGUUCUGAGCAUCAACCCCGAUAUGAUCGUCGACAAGACAAAGCAAGAAGACAUUUCAUUUGAUGGGAAGCUGGGAGAUUUCUGGCAGCUCACAGAGGUCAAUUUACACCCUCUUGACAUCCUCAAGCCCAAGAAUGAAGUGAAGGAUCUGGAAAGAAUGCUGGGCACAAAGCUGGAAGCGUGGCUCGUGCUUCAUCGUGCGAGGUUCAUCCGCGAUCUCAUGGACGCAGGGAUGCGCUGAGAACUCCGCCUCGUGCAUCGGUUUAGUGACGCAGUGUGCAGCAUCAAUACCAUAGGUGCCGGCAGGACAUUACACUCCUCUGGCGUGUUGCUUCUGUUUAGAUGAAAUGCCAGCAUUGUCUGAUGAAGAGCAAGGAGUACACCAUGCAAAUAAGUCAUAUAUUUCCAUAUAUCGCCUCUAUAUUUUGCAAAUUGGUCUCCUUUAUGUGAUAUUGAGCUUCUUGUGAAUAAUAAUCAAUGUCGAAAUAAAAUGCCAACAUGGUGAACAUUCAUUCUCACCAUUGUCUUUGACUGGUCGCCUGUUUAAGAACAUUUGUCAAAGUUUUUGUGAAGGCACCAUCUUAUAAGAUAUUUGCACACGUAAAGCUCAAAAAUAAUUGCGUACAUUUUAUGCACAGAACUUUGUUGCAUUCUUAAAAUGUUGCACAACAUCCAAUGGUAAACACUGCAAUUUAUUGGCUUCCAUUUUGCAAGAGUAAUUAUAGUCAAUCGUGGCCUUAUGUAUUAAACCUUAAUGAAAUAUCGUAGUAGAUCUAGGCAAGGAGUUGGUGCCUCCCCAGGCUACGAAUACCAAAAAAAUACACUUUAGAGGAAGAAUAUAAAAGUUUUAAAACCUAACCUGGUAAAAACUAAUGGCACCAGCUUGUUUUAAUGAAUCCUCUCCCAGGGUUUAGAGCGUAACAUUCCCACCAAGUUGAAUUUUGAGCUUUCAUGAUAACCAUCAACUUCAUAUAAAACUAAUCAAAGUGUCUUUGCCUACGCAACACUUUCUUUCGUGCGUUUCAGCAAAUUUGCAUGUUGCAGAGCAACGUGAACGGGAAGUUGGCGAUUUGGCACUCAACUUGUGGAAGAGCUUUCCCAGAGAUUAUGUAUGCGUCCACAAUCAAAUGAAGACUAAGGUAAAAACCUACGACUAUAUUUUGCCACUGGUAAAAGAGAUCUCAUAGUGUAAGUUAAAGCCAUUUUCAUAUAGCCUGUGAAUAACUUAAGAGAAGUAAACAAAAAACAUAGUCUCAAGUACAGCUUAGCUUUUUCGAUACUGUUGCCAUUUGUUGCAUAUGUUGUGUGUACUGUUGUUUUUAUAUUGUAAUUACAAUAGUCUCCAAUCACUUUCUUCAUGAGCACUUACCUCAAAUACCCCUGUGUGCUGGCAACUCAAGAUGUACUGCAUGGGAAGGGUGGUAUAAAUGAGACAUUGUGAUAAUGCAUAUGCAGAUUUAUUUUGCCGUUGCUGCAUUCCAUGUUAAAUCGAGCAACAGACAUACUGUUGUAAGCGACUUUAUUUCAAUAUUGCUGGACAGUUUAACAUUCAAUUUCUUCAUCGCAAUCACAAUAAGCACGGUUCAACAACAUAUACAUUUGGUCAUAAUGGUCUUCGAAGACAUUAUUUGAAAAUAAUGACCAUGAGAAGUAUGUUCAGCCUCUUUGAAAUAGAUUGUAAACAUAUACCGGUCAGAAUGUCACAGCAUAAUGAGCAGGGCACACAGUGUGCUUUACUGAAUGGCAAACGAAACAGGGCUAUAAGUAAUGCAAGCAUUCAACUAAAUAAGGCUGAUGGAUUUGAUUCAUUUCUAUUCUUAUUAUGUUUUUCUUGGCGUAUGCAGAUUUUGAUAAACAUCAACUGACGUAAUGCAGGACAAUUUACGUAAUUUUGUUCAUGUGAUAAAUGUUUUUUUUAGAUUGAAUGUAAAAUGUCAAAAAAAAAGAUGCUCUGUAUAGUGUGUGGACAUCCAUUGGUGCCAAGAAUAAAUAAGCAAAUCUAACAAAUGUUGU